rnacentral:rRNA from 1 species
GAUGAACGCUAGCGGCAGGCUUAACACAUGCAAGUCGAGGGGUAUGCCGAUUUAUCGGCAGAGACCGGCGCACGGGUGCGUAACGCGUAUGCAAUCUACCUUUCACAGAGGGAUAGCCCAGAGAAAUUUGGAUUAAUACCUCAUAGUAUAGCAGUUUCGCAUGAAACCACUAUUAAAGUUCCAACGGUGAAAGAUGAGCAUGCGUCCCAUUAGCUAGAUGGUAAGGUAACGGCUUACCAUGGCUACGAUGGGUAGGGGUCCUGAGAGGGAGAUCCCCCACACUGGUACUGAGACACGGACCAGACUCCUACGGGAGGCAGCAGUGAGGAAUAUUGGUCAAUGGACGCAAGUCUGAACCAGCCAUGCCGCGUGCAGGAUGACGGUCCUAUGGAUUGUAAACUGCUUUUAUACAGGAAGAAACACUCCGACGUGUCGGAGCUUGACGGUACUGUAAGAAUAAGGAUCGGCUAACUCCGUGCCAG